rnacentral:rRNA from 1 species
AGACCCGAAACCCGGUGAUCUAGCCAUGGGCAGGUUGAAGGUUGGGUAACACUAACUGGAGGACCGAACCGACUAAUGUUGAAAAAUUAGCGGAUGACCUGUGGCUGGGGGUGAAAGGCCAAUCAAACCGGGAGAUAGCUGGUUCUCCCCGAAAGCUAUUUAGGUAGCGCCUCGUGAAUUCAUCUCCGGGGGUAGAGCACUGUUUCGGCUAGGGGGCCAUCCCGGCUUACCAACCCGAUGCAAACUGCGAAUACCGGAGAAUGUUAUCACGGGAGACACACGGCGGGUGCUAACGUCCGUCGUGAAGAGGGAAACAACCCAGACCGCCAGCUAAGGUCCCAAAGUCAUGGUUAAGUGGGAAACGAUGUGGGAAGGCCCAGACAGCCAGGAUGUUGGCUUAGAAGCAGCCAUCAUUUAAAGAAAGCGUAAUAGCUCACUGGUCGAGUCGGCCUGCGCGGAAGAUGUAACGGGGCUAAACCAUGCACCGAAGCUGCGGCAGCGACGCUGAUGCGUUGUUGGGUAGGGGAGCGUUCUGUAAGCCUGCGAAGGUGGCCUGUGAGGGUUGCUGGAGGUAUCAGAAGUGCGAAUGCUGACAUAAGUAACGAUAAAGCGGGUGAAAAGCCCGCUCGCCGGAAGACCAAGGGUUCCUGUCCAACGUUAAUCGGGGCAGGGUGAGUCGACCCCUAAGGCGAGGCCGAAAGGCGUAGUCGAUGGGAAACGGGUUAAUAUUCCCGUACUUGGUGUUACUGCGAAGGGGGGACGGAGAAGGCUAUGUUGGCCGGGCGACGGUUGUCCCGGUUUAAGCGUGUAGGUGUGUGUUCCAGGUAAAUCCGGUUCACUUUAACACUGAGGCGUGAUGACGAGGCACUACGGUGCUGAAGCAACAAAUGCCCUGCUUCCAGGAAAAGCCUCUAAGCAUCAGGUAACAUCAAAUCGUACCCCAAACCGACACAGGUGGUCAGGUAGAGAAUACCAAGGCGCUUGAGAGAACUCGGGUGAAGGAACUAGGCAAAAUGGUGCCGUAACUUCGGGAGAAGGCACGCUGACACGUAGGUGAAGUGAUUUACUCAUGGAGCUGAAGUCAGUCGAAGAUACCAGCUGGCUGCAACUGUUUAUUAAAAACACAGCACUGUGCAAACACGAAAGUGGACGUAUACGGUGUGACGCCUGCCCGGUGCCGGAAGGUUAAUUGAUGGGGUCAGCGCAAGCGAAGCUCCUGAUCGAAGCCCCGGUAAACGGCGGCCGUAACUAUAACGGUCCUAAGGUAGCGAAAUUCCUUGUCGGGUAAGUUCCGACCUGCACGAAUGGCGUAAUGAUGGCCAGGCUGUCUCCACCCGAGACUCAGUGAAAUUGAACUCGCUGUGAAGAUGCAGUGUACCCGCGGCAAGACGGAAAGACCCCGUGAACCUUUACUAUAGCUUGACACUGAACAUUGAGCCUUGAUGUGUAGGAUAGGUGGGAGGCUUUGAAGUGUGGACGCCAGUCUG